AUGAAUCUUGUCCUCUACAAGCAUCAUAGUUUUAUCCAUUGCUUUGUGCUGAGUCUCAAGGACCAAACCUAUACGAUGGAUUCCAGAAAGCCCUUCUUGGAAAUUGAUGUCAAAGGGGGAGAGAGAGAUCACAUCAAAGCUCAAGGGGGAGAGAAAGUCUCAAGGACCAAACCUACAAGAGAGAAAGUAUUAAGGGGGAGAAAGAGAUUUCCACGGGGAGAGAAUACUCAAGGAUCCCAGAUGUUCCAGAUGCUUGAUGUUCAAGAGGAGAGAUGUCACAUGUAUUUUUGGGGGAAAGACAUGUUCAUAUGUGCUUAUUUGCAUUAA
rnacentral:rRNA from 1 species